rnacentral:rRNA from 1 species
GUCCACACUGUAAACGAUGAAUGCUAGGUGUGGGGGAGCAAUCUUCCGUGCCGCAGUUAACACAAUAAGCAUUCCACCUGGGGAGUACGGCCGCAAGGUUGAAACUCAAAGGAAUUGACGGGAGCCCGCACAAGCAGUGGAGUAUGUGGUUUAAUUCGACGCAACGCGAAGAACCUUACCAGGACUUGACAUCCCAGGAAUCCGGAGUAAUGUCUGGAGUGCCCUUCGGGGAAUCUGGUGACAGGUGGUGCAUGGUUGUCGU